rnacentral:lncRNA from 1 species
GGACGCGUAGGCGCGGCGACAAACCAGCGUCCCCAGUUCCCUGGAGUCGUUUGUCCAGUGAAGUCCUCGAAGCAGUCAGGUGCCAAAGUCGCCAUGCCCAACCACGAGACCACCAACCUGAUAGCCACCUACCUGAUCCUGCUGCUACUGCUGGGGUCUCUGUGGCUGCUGUACUCCGGGCUGUACUGAGGUGCCUUGUCUUUUUACGAGAGCAAGUAAACGUCACCAUGUGAGACCAAAGUGCGAAGCAGAGCUGAAAUGCAACUUAAAUUAAGAAACCGUAAUUUUAGUAUUAAGUUAAUAAGUUAAGCCAUUUUAUACCCGAGCAUUUAAGUUAUCGUAAUGGAGGUCCCUGGUCUGAGACAGGAGCUAUGGUGCUGGGCAUUCCAAUUUAAACUCUAAAAUUUAGAGGAAAGACAGAUAAAACACCGAUUAUGUGAAUAGAGCCUAGCAAUUAAUAUUUGCUGAAAGGCGUAACACCAGAACUAAAGAUUUUAUCAUUGUUAAGAAUAAUUUAAGUGUUUUAAUAAAGAUUUUUCUAUUAA